GACGAACGCUGGCGGCGCGCUUAACACAUGCAAGUCGAACGGAAAGGCCUGCUUUCCCUUGUGGAUUGCGGGUACUCGAGUGGCGAACGGGUGAGUAACACGUGAGUGAUCUGCCCCCAACUUGGGUAUAAGCCUGGGAAACUGGGUCUAAUUCCCGAUAGGACUGCAGGGUGGUGCCUGUGGUGGAAAACGAUUUUCUAGUGGUUGGGGAUGAGCUCGCGGCCUAUCAGCUUGUUGGUGGGGUAAUGGCCUACCAAGGCGGCGACGGGUAGCCGGCCUGAGAGGGUGGACGGCCACAUUGGGACUGAGAUACGGCCCAGACUCAUACGGGAGGCAGCAGUGGGGAAUAUUGCACAAUGGGCGGAAGCCUGAUGCAGCGACGCCGCGUGGGGGAUGACGGCCUUCGGGUUGAAAACUCCUUUCGACCGCGAGGAAGCCACCUGGUUGGAAGGGUGGUGACGGUAGUGGUAGAAGAAGCACCGGCUAACUACGUG
rnacentral:rRNA from 1 species